rnacentral:rRNA from 1 species
AGUCUUAGGAUAAUUCAUCUAAGAUCAAACCUGCCCAAUGUAUAUUUUAUGAAUGGCCGCGGUACCUUGACCGUGCUAAGGUAGCGCAAUAAAUUGGCCUUUAAAUGAGGCCAUGUAUGAAUGGAAUCACGGAGUUUAGCUGUCUCUAAAACUAAUUUAUUGAAAUUACUAUACAGGUGAAAAAGCCUGUUUUAGGAAAAAGGACGAGAAGACCCUUAGAGCUUUACUAAAUUUGAAAAUAAAAUAUUUUCAAGUCAGUUUUGUUGGGGCAACAUAGGAACAUUGAAAUUUCCUUAAAUUUAAUCUACCGAUGUUUAUAAAUUUGAAUAAGCUACCUUAGGGAUAACAGCAAAAUUUUAUAAAUUAGUUUGUGACCUCGAUGUUGGACUAGGAAACUAGUAGGCUAGCCGCUUAUUAGAUAAGUUCUGUUCGAACUAUAAUUUCCUA